CAGUUUUUGGCAGUGGUUAAGGCAUUGGUCUGGUAUGUGGAAGGUCGUGUGUUCAAAUCCCAGCACAGCUGU